UACGUAGGAGGCAAGCGUUGUCCGGAAUUACUGGGCGUAAAGCGCGUGUAGGUGGUGGGACAAGUCUGCUGUGAAAGCGCCUGGCUUAACCGGGCGAGGUCGGCGGAAACUGUCCGACUCGAGGACGGUAGAGGGGGGUGGAAUUCCCGGUGUAGUGGUGAAAUUCGUAGAUAUCGGGAGGAACACCGGUGGCGAAGGCGGCGAUCUGGGUAGAUACUGACGCUGAGGUGCGAAAGCGUGGGGAGCAAACAGG
rnacentral:rRNA from 1 species